rnacentral:rRNA from 1 species
UACGUAGGGUGCGAGCGUUAAUCGGAAUUACUGGGCGUAAAGCGUGCGCAGGCGGUUUUGUAAGCCAGAUGUGAAAUCCCCGGGCUUAACCUGGGAAUGGCAUUUGGGACUGCAAGGCUCGAGUGCGGCAGAGGAGACUGGAAUUCCUGGUGUAGCAGUGAAAUGCGUAGAUAUCAGGAGGAACACCGAUGGCGAAGGCAGGUCUCUGGGCCGAUACUGACGCUGAGGAGCGAAAGCGUGGGGAGCAAACAGG